GACAUCGAAAGCUUGCUUUUGAUGGGCGUCGACCGGCGCACGGGUGAGUAACGCGUAUCCAACCUGCCCACCACUUGGGGAUAACCUUGCGAAAGUAAGACUAAUACCCAAUGACGUCUCUAGAAGACAUCUGAAGGAGAUUAAAGAUUUAUCGGUGAUGGAUGGGGAUGCGUCUGAUUAGCUUGUUGGCGGGGUAACGGCCCACCAAGGCAACGAUCAGUAGGGGUUCUGAGAGGAAGGUCCCCCACAUUGGAACUGAGACACGGUCCAAACUCCUACGGGAGGCAGCAGUGAGGAAUAUUGGUCAAUGGACGAGAGUCUGAACCAGCCAAGUAGCGUGCAGGAUGACGGCCCUAUGGGUUGUAAACUGCUUUUAUAAGGGAAUAAAGUGAGUCUCGUGAGACUUUUUGCAUGUACCUUAUGAAUAAGGACCGGCUAAUUCCGUGCCAGCAGCCGCGGUAAUACGGAAGGUCCGGGCGUUAUCCGGAUUUAUUGGGUUUAAAGGGAGCGUAGGCCGGAGAUUAAGCGUGUUGUGAAAUGUCGGGGCUCAACCUGGGCAUUGCAGCGCGAACUGGCAGACUUGAGUGCGCGGGAAGUAGGCGGAAUUCGUCGUGUAGCGGUGAAAUGCUUAGAUAUGACGAAGAACUCCGAUUGCGAAGGCAGCCUGCUGUAKCGUAACUGACGCUGAAGCUCGAAAGCGUGGGUAUCGAACAGGAUUAGAUACCCUGGUAGUCCACGCGGUAAACGAUGGAUGCUCGCUGUUUGCGUCUGACGUAAGCGGCCAAGCGAAAGCGUUAAGCAUCCCACCUG
rnacentral:rRNA from 1 species